UGGUAUUUGUAUCCACUUUUAAUUAUAUGCAAAUGAAGGGGCAGUUUAUGCAGACAUUUCCAGGGUGAGGGUGGUAACUUCUGGGUUGUUAGGUUGUUGCCAUGGAAAGGGCAGUAACUUCUGGGUGCUGCCAGGGCCAUGGUGAACUGACUUGACACAGGUCGGUGUGUCCUAUGGAAACUAGCAUCUGCCCUGGACCUAUUUUAGCUAGUGCUCAGUUUGGUCUGAGCCCUGCCUAGCACUGGAGGAGUAAAAAUCUCUGGAUACCUGAUCUAAGGAGCCCAGAGGCAGGACGAUUUCAUUCUCCGUGUCAGUGGACAGGAUGGGCUGGAAGCCUUGUGCCAGCAUUGUCUCUGGAACUGUGGUAAUCUAGAAUACACAAACUUUACUAAGAGGUUAAAGAAGCAAGGACCAAACAUUUG
rnacentral:antisense_RNA from 1 species